UACGUAGGGUGCAAGCGUUGUCCGGAAUUAUUGGGCGUAAAGAGCUCGUAGGCGGUCUGUCGCGUCGGCUGUGAAAACCCGGGGCUCAACCCCGGGCCUGCAGUCGAUACGGGCAGACUAGAGUGCGGUAGGGGAGACUGGAAUUCCUGGUGUAGCGGUGAAAUGCGCAGAUAUCAGGAGGAACACCGGUGGCGAAGGCGGGUCUCUGGGCCACUACUGACGCUGAGAAGCGAAAGCAUGGGGAGCGAACAGG
rnacentral:rRNA from 1 species